rnacentral:tRNA from 1 species
CAUAAUGUAGCCUAAUUAAAGCCCCUCGCUUACACCGAGGAGAUAUCUGUUAAAUUCGGAUCAUUUUGA